rnacentral:sRNA from 1 species
AUGGCAGAAUGUAAAGCCACAAAUAUGAAGGGGAAACUCACAACAUCUUCAAGAGCUGGAAUUAUGGUGGGAUGAAGAGUGGGAUGGUGGAGGAAUUCAGAUGAUAAUCAUCUCUUGCUUCCAUCAUUUUCUCCUUCUCUUUCUCAUUUACAGAUUAUCGAAUGCCCUAACUUGACUUCCAUGCCCCUAAUUCCCGAUCUCGCUUCUUUAAAAUCGUUAGAUAUUUCUGGUUGUCCCCUCUUAAGGCAAAGAGGCAAACCGUGAAAAUUGGCCCAUCCAUCAUUGCUCAUUUCCCAAAUAAUCCAGCAAGAAAAAACAAUUUAUUCAGGUAUAUAUGCAUCUAUCUUUUUAUAAUCCCAAAUUCAAAAUCAACUACUGCUUUUUUAGGGUUUUUAUGUUUUGGACAUCUUCUAAAACUUUCAGCUUCUUUCUUAUGCUGAACUAAACCAAUUUAAUAUUAGGAUACUGUAAUCCAUCCUUUUUUUUUUUUUUUUUUCUUUCUUUUAAUUCUAUUGAUUUAUAUGUUUGUACCUAAAAGCAUGUUGAUAAUAUGAUGUGUGUAUGGUUGCUUCUUAGUUAUUGCAGAAUCUGAGUUAGAAUCAGAGUCGGUUUGUUUACUUCCGGAGGAGGAAUUAAUCUAGCAACUACCAUUGCAGGAUUUAGCCUAUUUUGCAGGUAUUUCAUUGUUUCACUCUCUUUUAUUUGUUUAUUUUUUCUUUUUUGGGGGUCUAUAUAUCUAUUAAGAUUAAUUUUAAAAUUCUCAUUUGAACUAUUGAUAUAUAGAAAAUAACUAAUGGUUUAAUUACUGCUUUUGAAGGGAUAAUUGUUGAAUUCUUUCUUUCUUUUUCUCAUAAUUUUUAAAUUUUUUUUCAUUUUUUAUUUUGGAGACUUUGUUUUAGUCAGAAGCAGAACAAAGAUUGAGGUCUACCGAUGUAGACAUUUACAAAUCUGGAGAUAAUAUUUAUCUAUGUUGGCGCAAGGUCAAGAACUCAGUGGUAAUCAUUUGUUUCCCUUUUUUUUGGGUCAAAACUCUAAUAAGACGCAUGAUUUCUUCAAGUUAUUAGGAGAAUAAAAAAGGAUAACUGUUCUAUCAUUUGUUCUUUUAUUCUAACGAUUUAUAUCUUUUCAUCUAAACUUGUGUUAAUGAAAUGACAUAUAUUGUUGCUUGUUCAUAAUUGCAGAAUCAUAGCAAAUUUCUUAGAACUUUGAAGGGCGCACUUGACCAGGCAGCUAACAUGGCAGGAAUUAGCUUACUAAACUGGUAUUUUGGUGGUUAAUUUUUUUUUUUUUUUGGGUAUAAAAGUUUCCAACGUAUAUUUGCUUACUAAUACUUUAUUUGCUUCCUCACAUGUCGAAUCGUUGAUUUGAAGACUGACUUUGAAGUCAGAGAAGAACUAGAGAAUGACUGAAUGAGUCUAAUUCGUUCAUUCGUGUGCAAAUUCAACAGUGAUUGAAUUUUUAUCUGUUACUCAAUUGAAAAUUACCAAUUAAGAUUUUUCUUUUUGCUUGACUACCAAUUAAGAUUAGAGGAUGCUGUUAUUUUUGUUACCGUGUCCAUUUUUAUAGAAUAGGUUGUUCUGCUCAAAACAAAACCCAAGUUUAAGAACGUUUGGUUUUUCCAUCGGUUGGUAAUUUGGCACUUGCUCUCUCUCUCUGCUAAAGCCGUGGUCCUUGCUUCUUGAAUUUUGGCUGUGGAGACAAAAUUCAAGAACCUGCCCUGUUCAAAACUUUCUGGCCCUAAAAUCGUUUAACAAGUAGUGUACUCAAUGGUAAUCAUCUUCUCUCUAUCUUUUAAAAUUUAGGCAAAUCUCUUUCUGUUUUGUUUCCUUUCUGUAUGUUCAAAGGCCUGCUGUUGCACAGGAAGGAUAGAGUUUAUAUCUUUGUACCUACAAUUGACUCAAUGGUGAUGUACUUGGUUGCUUCGAUGACAAUUGCAGAAAUAGAGAAACUUUUACUACUUGAGGGGAGUGUCUACCAUGCCAACUAACAAUGCCAGAGUUAUCUUAUUAAAUGGAUUCUGUUUGGUCAAUUAUUUUCUUUAUAUAUAAGCUUAAAACAUGUUCUUAUAUAUACUAGAAAUUGAUUUCCACAAUGCCAUUGGGUAAUUGGUAAACAACUAAUGAAUUAUGUAGUUUAUGGGUUGAGACAAUAAGGCUGAAUAUUUUUUUCUUUUUCCAAAUGUUUCUGGAGAAUUCAUUUAAGUCAAAAGUAUAAAAUGAGAUAGAGUCUAGUUGGUUUAUUUAGUAUAGUGUGUCUGGACAUGCACAAAUCCAAUGGUAAAUUAUCUUACAGAUUUUAGAAUGCCCUAUUUUUCUUACUCCUUUAUGUAUUAUUUUAUGGUGGGUUAUUAAUGCUCAAAGCAGCAUCCAAGCUUAGGAACUUUUCAUUUUUUGUGGUUGGUUUUUUCUCUAUUUGUCUACCUCCUAAAGCCCCUUUAAUUCUUUACUUUUUGUUGUGCAGACUCUGUUUGAAUAUUGGGCAACAUUGCACAUGUUCUUUUCUCUAAUAUCUCCAUGUCCUUUUAUUUGCUUCUUUUCUACCGAACUGUAUCUGAUACUUAUUUGACAGGCUUUUGCAAUUGGUUUUUGUAUCAAGCAAUACAUAGACCAAGUGAAAUCUGGCACUUCUUGACCAUGAGUUACAAUUGUUCAAGAGGGCGAAUCCUGACUACAAUGCCUGGGGAAAUGGGUUGGAGCUAUUAUCCAUGUAAACUAUCUUAAUAUUUUACUUAAAAAAGGUCACUAAUUAUCACCUUGUAUGUAGUCCUUGAGAAGAAUAAUGCCUUUUUCUCAAUUUCAUUUUCUAAAGCUUAAUGUGCAUCAAAAACACCAAUAUGCUUUAGAGUUAAAGGUUGCAAAAUUAGAGGGACGACUUUUACUUUAUGCAUCAUUUGAUAGGCGAGAAAGAGCAAUAUGGCAAAAGAGGGUUUUGACAUCAUUUGGUAUAUGGUAGACAAAACUACUUGAUUUGGCUUUAUAAUUUUUUUUUAAUAAGUUUGCAUUUUGUAACACAAAAAGGGGCACAACCCUGGUACACCAGAUGUGUACAAGAGAUUUAAUAUUCUUAAUUCAAUUAUUUAGCUCAAAUCAUGUGUGAAUUUCAUGUUUCUAAAAUGUGUGAUGAAUACUUUGCCAAUUUUUUUUUCUCAAACUCUCAUAAACAUCUUUCAAGAGCUUUCAAUUAUGUUGAAUUUCUAAAUUAUGUGUUUCUGUAUAUAAAACAGAGGAGAGUGUGGCAUUGAAACCAAAAGGAUUUUCAAAGAUGUUUCUACAAAAAUCAGGCAUCAUCUUUCUAUAGAUUGAGUAAUACGCCUCUCACUUCCUUAAUUUAGUUUCAUAUUUAUGAUAAUUUUUGUAACAAACAAUUUUGUCUUUUCAAAAAUUUGCUUGCAAAGUUAUUUUUGUAACUAUAAUAUUUUUUAACUGGUGAAUUCCUAAUUUUGUAGUUUUCUCUUUUGGUGCAGUCUGGAGUACAAGUAGGUGACUAAACCCAUUUAAUCUUACAUUAAAAGCAUGAGCAUGUGACAUAAUCUGCAAAAGUCUUUACAAAUUUUUAUAAUUUUUUUCAGUUGAUAAUUUCAAGUGCAGGGAAAACUUGUGCUUGCUCCACUGAUGGAGUUUGAGACUUCCACAACAAAGAACCUCUUCAGUAUGUUCUGUUAUCUCUACAUUAGCAUGGUUUUAGUCAUCUUUGAAGUGGUCUUUCAAUUCUUCUUAAGGCUGCUCAGGAUACCACAAUAUUCCAAGCCAUGGCAAUUACAUAGAUGAGACUCACAAACAACGAACCUGAAACUUUUAUACACAUGCGAUGGAUUUCCUUUUGUGCUGAUGCUAGGUGUGUGUUUCAUGUUCUAGUAUCAGUUUCCCAAAUCCCAAUAAUAUUCGUUCUCUUUUGCAGUUUGGAUGGAGGCCACUGUGUUGUCUUUGAAGUGUGAAAUGUGAAGAUGAUCCAUAUUUUUGUGUAUUUUGGAGAUUAGGGAAUAUGAGCAUUUUCUGGAAGGGACUAGAAUUAGGGAGAGAGAUUAUGUCCCUGGUUGACUUCCAUUCAAAUGAAAUACCUUGUUUUUUUACCUGAAUUCUCCUAUCAAAUUUUGUUCCUAUUGGAGAAUGUUGGAAUUUCCUUCAUAGCUAAUAUUGCCGCUUGGUGAAAUUAUCAAUCAAUGAAGAGUUGGUUACCAAAGCUUCAUCCUUCCAUAUGCCCUGUAAAAGCAAAUUUUCAGAAGCCAUGAGAUCUUAAAUAUUCCUCACAGCAAUUGAAGUUAAAGUCAACUGUAAGAAAAGAAUUCCAGAAGAGCUCAACUUCCCUCCCUUGCCCCUCUCUGGUUAUAUUGAUGAGAAUUCUUAUGUUCUAGGGUCAUAUGAAUUUUACUCUGCAUUUAGUUAGGAUGUUAUGCCCUUCCUAGAUUUUGGAUCCUUACUACUUGAAGUAUGAGUGUAUUCCUUCAAAAUUUCUGAAGGGUAGGUUGUCCAUUGUCCCAUGUAUGGUUUUAACUGCUUCACUUAAGGUCAACUUUGUGUAAAGUUAUUUAUUCUUAUAUCCAAAAUAUUCUUUUUUACAUAUUUAUUUGGCCCUAGAGCAUGUUAUUCACAAAUUUUACAUAUUUUAAAGCUUGAUAUAAACGUUAACAAUUCUUCUGGUAAUGUCCUACCUGCUAUGAUUAUAGUAUUUCUGAAUCACUGAUACCUUGUCUUUAGAGCAAAAUUUACUUCUUUAUUUUUUGUCAGAUUUAAGUAGUUUUAUUUCAUUCAUCCUUGAAGAAGGCUGGAAAAAUUCAGUGCAACUCUGAAAUGUCAAAUGUGUAUUUCCAUUUAAAAAGAAAAAAAAAAUCUAAUGAGAAGAGGGAAAUCACCACAAUACAAUUCCCUCUUAUUUUCCUCUCUAUUUACUCUACUACUACCAUUGAGAUUUAAUUGUAUUGAAUAAUUCACUCCUUUUCCCUUCUUGCCUAUCUCAUCUCCUGACCUGACCCUCUCGAACUUUCCAUUACUUUGACAGCAAGAGCUUCUUCCUUUGCAAUAUUUUUACUGGAGUUGUUCACCUAUUAGAAUGGUUUCGUUUAACUGUUUUUGUUUUCCUCAAUGUCCUAAGGAGAGCAAUUGUUUUGGGUUAAUAGAGUGGCAAAUAGAGGUAGGCUAUAAUAUUCUUGAGCAAAAUGAUAAAAGUAUAUGAAAAUUGGUCAAUAUUUGAUUUGAUAUUUUAGCUAUUGUUUCCUUUGCAGAUGACGGUUCCACUAAUACAACCCAUCUCAUAACUCCUUUUUUUGUGAGAGAUGAGCCUACAUGUUUCUUUGUGGUAAAUUUGGCAAUUCCUUUAUAUUUUUUGGUAUCUGGGUUUUUUAGUUUGGAUUUUUUUAAUUAUCAUGUCUCCUUACAUUGUGGAGUGAAAAAUUGGUUUAAUGCAUAAUCUUAUUUGUAGACUAUAGGUAAUUGAAGACAAUAACAUGUUUCUCAAUCUCCUUUCUUAUUGUUUGUUAGGGAUGA